rnacentral:tRNA from 1 species
UGGGCAGUAGCUCAGUGGUAGAGCUCCCGAUUCCCGUACAGAAAACCAGGGUUCGAUUCCCGGCUGCUUAC